rnacentral:rRNA from 1 species
CCUGGCUUAGAUUGAACGCUGGCGGCAGGCCUAACACAUGCAAGUCGAACGGUAACAGGAAGCAGCUUGCUGCUUGCUGACGAGUGGCGGACGGGUGAGUAAUGUCUGGGAAACUGCCUGAUGAGGGGGGAUAACUACUGGAAACGGUAGCUAAUACCGCAUAACGUCGCAAGACCAAAGAGGGGGACCUUCGGGCCUCUUGCCAUCAGAUGUGCCCAGAUGGGAUUAGCUUGUUGGUGGGGUAACGGCUCACCAAGGCGACGAUCCCUAGCUGGUCUGAGAGGAUGACCAGCCACACUGGAACUGAGACACGGUCCAGACUCCUACGGGAGGCAGCAGUGGGGAAUAUUGCACAAUGGGCGCAAGCCUGAUGCAGCCAUGCCGCCGUGUAUGAAGAAGGCCUUCGGGUUGUAAAGUACUUUCAGCGGGGAGGAAGGUGUUGUGGUUAAUAACCACAGCAAUUGACGUUACCCGCAGAAGAAGCACCGGCUAACUCCGUGCCAGCCGCCGC